rnacentral:rRNA from 1 species
GACGAACGCUGGCGGCAUGCUUUACACAUGCAAGUCGAACGGUAACAGGUUAAGCUGACGAGUGGCGAACGGGUGAGUAAUGCAUCAGAACGUGCCCGAUCGUGGGGGAUAACGCAGCGAAAGCUGCGCUAAUACCGCAUACGAUCUGAGGAUGAAAGCGGGGGACCGUAAGGCCUCGCGCGAUCGGAGCGGCCGAUGUCAGAUUAGGUAGUUGGUGGGGUAAAGGCUCACCAAGCCAACGAUCUGUAGCUGGUCGGAGAGGACGACCAGCCACACUGGGACUGAGACACGGCCCAGACUACUACGGGAGGCAGCGGUGGGGAAUUUUGGACAAUGGGCGAAAGCCUGCUCCAGCAAUGCCGCGUGCAGGAAGAAGGCCUUCGGGUUGUAAACUGCUUUUGUACGGAGCGAAAAGGUUCUCUCUAAUACAGAGGGCUCAUGACGGUACCGUAAGAAUAAGCACCGGCUAACUACGUGCCAGCCGCCGCAGUAAAAC